GCCAAGGUGGCUUAGUGGAUAAGACGCCUGCCUAAUAAGCAGGAGAACCAGGUUCGAUUCCCGGCCUUGGUA